AAAUUGAAGAGUUUGAUCAUGGCUCAGAUUGAACGCUGGCGGCAGGCCUAACACAUGCAAGUCGAACGGUAACAGGAAGCAGCUUGCUGUUUCGCUGACGAGUGGCGGACGGGUGAGUAAUGUCUGGGAAACUGCCUGAUGGAGGGGGAUAACUACUGGAAACGGUGGCUAAUACCGCAUAACGUCGCAAGACCAAAGAGGGGGA
rnacentral:rRNA from 1 species